rnacentral:rRNA from 1 species
GACGAACGCUGGCGGCGUGCUUAACACAUGCAAGUCGAACGGAAAGGCCCUGCUUUUGUGGGGUGCUCGAGUGGCGAACGGGUGAGUAACACGUGAGUAUCCUGCCCUUGACUUUGGGAUAACUUCAGGAAACUGGGGCUAAUACCGGAUAGGAGCUCCUGCUGCAUGGUGGGGGUUGGAAAGUUUCGGCGGUUGGGGAUGGACUCGCGGCUUAUCAGCUUGUUGGUGGGGUAGUGGCUUACCAAGGCUUUGACGGGUAGCCGGCCUGAGAGGGUGACCGGCCACAUUGGGACUGAGAUACGGCCCAGACUCCUACGGGAGGCAGCAGUGGGGAAUAUUGCACAAUGGGCGGAAGCCUGAUGCAGCAACGCCGCGUGCGGGAUGACGGCCUUCGUGUUGUAAACCGCUUUCGCCUGUGACGAAGCGUGAGUGACGGUAAUGGGUAAAGAAGCACCGGCUAACUACGUG